CUAGGCCGACCGGGUGUCCGCACUAAGUUUGGCAUCAAUAUGAUGUCCUCCUGGGAGCGGGGGGCCACCAAGUUGCCUAAGGAUGGCUGAACUGGCCCAGGUCAGAAAGGGAGUGGGUCAGAACUCCCGCAUCGACUGGUAGUGGGACUAUGCCUGAUCUUGG
rfam:Gorilla gorilla gorilla genomic chromosome, chr15, whole genome shotgun sequence